rnacentral:tRNA from 1 species
GCGGUUGUGGCGGAAUUGGCAGACGCGCACGGUUCAGGUCCGUGUGA